CUACCAGCAAAAGAGUAACAGAGGAGCAACAGCCUGGGGAGAGGCUGAGAGGAGGCAGGAGGAGCUUGUGAUGAGACGGAGAGUGCAAUCCCAAUGGGAAGAAAGAGACUCAGCGUGACAAGGCCUGGAUGCCUGUGGCUCCUCGUGCAGGCUGGAGACAAGCAACGCCAGCGGAUCGAGCUUUGCGCAUCUGAAAGACCUCAACCAAAGCUGCAGAGCCUUCGCUGUGUGAUCCGUCUGGGAACAGGAGUGACGAGUGACCGCGGCUCCCUUGGAUGCUGUUUCUGCUGAGGCCAUGGAGCGGGGACAGGAAAGCAGAGCUGAGUGUCGGUCUCUGGCAAUAGCAAAGCAGGAGCUUUCCACGUACCCACCGUCAUCCAAAAUAGCACUCCAUUCCACAGGUUUCUGCAAACCAAGGGCUCGGUCCAUGGGCGUGAGGAAAGGAGGCAGCAAAAUAUUCCAUCAAAUUGUGCUCAGGAAAUGCAUUGCUCAUUUGAAAUGACUUCUCACACACAGACCAGAACAGCUAGGAAAUGAGUGUGCGACGGAGGGCAUUUGCUUGCUGAUUCAUGUCCUCGUGUGUUUCAGAAGCUACUCUGUGCACACUGGGAACAUGCCCUCUUAUCUGAGAAAAACCUUGACUUGACUGUUCUGAGAUGAUUCUGCCCUGACUGGGCCACUCGGUGCCACUGAGAGCGCUUUUAUGAGAUCCUGCACUUGAUAAAAGAAGCCAGGGGACUUAGGAACAGAUGGUAUCUUAGUCCCUUUUGCAUUGCCAUAAAGGAACACCUGAGGCCGGGUAAUUUAAAAAGAAAAAAGGUUUAUUUUUGCUUACGGUUCUGCAGGCUGUACAAGCAUGGCAUCAGCACUGGCUUUUGGUGAGGCCCAGGAAGCUUUUAACCACAGCAGAAGGUGAAGGGGGAGCCUUCCCAUGGCAAGAGAGGGAACAGGAGAGAGAGGAGGAGGUGCCAGCCUCCUUUAAACAACAGCUCUUGAUUGAACUCAAAGCAAGAACUCAUUCAUCACCAAGGGGAGGGCACCAAGCCAUUCAUGAGUGAGUGCCCCCAUGACCCAUGCAUCUCCCUCCAGGCCCACCUCCAACACUGAGGACACAGGGCCACGUUUCAACAUGAGAUUUGGAGGAACACAUCCCAACCACGUCAGCCAGCAGUAAUAAAAUGCCCACAAACAGCUGUGGGAACCACGCUGUCACUUCUGCCCCCUGCCAGCUCCCAAGCCCUGGAAAUAUAACAGCAUGUGCAUGGAAGGAAGACCCACGCGAGCAUACGGUAGCACACCAGGUAAGUGAAGGCCUGGCUCUGGGGAGGCCAGGGCCACAGUGAGGUUUCUCAGCCUGGCUCCACCUCCAAGAACAGAGUGCACUGAGGUCACAGUGAGACCAUAGCCCUGGAACUGGCGGAACCCAGAAGGGGACAAAACAAACCUGGUCUUCCCCAAAAUUGCUCAUGCUUUAAGUUGUGAGAGGGAUCCUGGUGUCAUCAGGACCUGAAGAAGAGCAUCCCAGUCCUGAAGGCCAAAUAUUCCCAGGUGAACAGAGCGCCGGCCACCUGUCAUUGCACCCUCCUAAUGCCCAUCUCCCCAAGCCACAGAGACCAGCAGACCCUGGGAAAAGCCCCCGAGGCUGCCGAGAUCAGGCAUCAGAGCAGGCACAAGGGCUGUGUCAGUCCAUUCUCAUGCUGCUGUAAACAACUACCUGAGGCUGGGUAACUUAUAAAGAAAAAGGUCUAAUUGGCUUACAGUUCUGCAGGCUGUGCGGAAGCAUGGCUGGGAGGCCUCAGGAAACUUACAAUCAUGGUGGAAGACGAAGGGGAAGCAGGCACGUCUUCCAUAGCCAGAGCAGCAAGAAGAGGGCAAAGGGGGCGGAGCCACACACUUUUAAACAACCACAUCUCGUGAGCACUCACUCACUAUCACGAGAACAGCAAACAGCAAGGAGGAAAUCCGCCCCCAUGAUACAGUCCCCUCCCACCAGACUUCUCCUCCAACACUGGGGGUUACAAUUAGACAUGAGGUUUGGGUGGGGACACAAAUCCAAACCACGUCAGUGGCUGUGCUGGCUCCUCUAGUCCACGCCCUGGAUGCUCAGAGCCAUUCCUCCUGCCACGGGCGUCCUUCAGAUGACCCUGCUGGCCGGCGGAGCCUGGAGAAACCAAGGCACUCACACCUGAGAAACUUCAGCCUCCUUCAGCUGUGACUUAUGGCAGCGGCAGGGCCUGCUGUCAGCGGAUGAGGGACAGCUCCGUAAACCAGCCACAACGAGUCCUAUUUUUCGACUGUCUGUCAUGGUGACUAAUCACAGCUCCUUGCUCUCUUCUCCACCUCAUUUUCAAGUGACUUCUUUUUUUCUGCAAUUCAUAAAUCCUCACUUUCAUGUAAGGCCUCUAUAUGAUACUUUAUCAAAUGCUUUUUGAAAGCCUCGGCAGAAAAUAUCACCCAUGUCCUGGGCUUCUUUCUCUCAGCUCUUUCUUCAGUAAUGGAAUCAAUUUUUUAAAGAGGGAGACACACAGUGUGUUGGGGGUAGACUUUGCCUCCCUCGGAGGAUCUCAGAGAACUUAAUGCCAAGUCUGUGUAGCUCACCCACAUCCUUUGCCUCUUGAGAAAGGAGAACAUACAUUCUAGAUUCUUCCUGCAGUGCAAACCUCUACUUCCAUGAAAUCUUUUAACUGUUACUCUCCCAAAUAUUCUCUAUUCCAAAGAGGUGGGAAGCAUGUGUUGUCUGUACAGCAUGAAAACAGAGAGGCAUAGAGAAAAAGCUGCUGUGACACAGGCCCCCUGCAAGGCUGACCUCCCAUCUCUUCCAUUACCCUUCCCGAGGAGCAAAGGGCUUCUCCCCAGCAGCUGUGACCAGAAGACCACAGCCUGGACGUGCCCUGUCCUCCCUCCCAGGCCCUUCCAGCCUCUGUCACAGGCAGAGGUGGGAACUGAAAACUCAGAGCUGCCCGGAGUCGAGGAUGCUGCUGCUGCUGCCAGGUAGGUUUAAAAACAAAGAAUUGCCCUGGAACCCUCUUGCUUCCUCGCCGCCUAGGAUCCCAGGACCCCGCAGCACUGCUCUCUGAUGCUUUUGCCAUUCGCCUGUGUUAUCCAUGAACAGAAGGACGUCAGUGGGCGUUGUCCUGAGCACUGUGGAGGUACCCAGGGGAAAAGACCAAAGCUUCCACCCUCAAGGAGUUCAGGACUAAUGCCAGAGACAGAGGAGGGGAUGACAAACCCAACAGCAGGUGUCAGGAGAGGUCUCCAGGGCGCCCCGGGAAGACCAUGCUGGGAAAUGCAGCCUGCCCUGGGCCAAGGACUGUGACCCACAGAGAGAUCACUGGUGCUGCUUUCCUCUUAGCCCAUCUCUGCCUUUUGUUCACCAUCUCCAAGUGCAAGCCAAGCUCUUCCCUCACUCUCCAUCCAUCCAUGAGGGGACAGGCAGGGCAGCUCCUGACAAGACCGUCACCCUUAACUGUCCAUGCAUUAGGUGGGUGAGCAGGACGAGAGAACUUGCCUGUGCGUCCAGAAACCAGCCAAGUUCACAUUUAAUUCACUUAGAUUAUCUCACACUUAAAAAAAAUACAAAGAGCUAAAUUCACUGCCUGAUGAAGAGACAAGAGAUUUUUUUUAACAUUCUUUAUUUUUUAUGUGCCUAAGUUUUGUCUCAUUAACAUUCUUUAAAAAUAGCUCUACGUUAGCCUUUCUAUGGACUGGAUAGGAGCCUGUGACAAUGGCACAGUGAUUUGGGGGCCGAUUUUCCUUAAAUACCUCUCCCAUGAGAUGGUGAAUGCUUUUGCUACGUGGAAGCUUCAGGACUGUCUAGUCCGAACAAGCUGCAUAAAUGGAGGGAUUCUUACCAUCCGACCUGGUCUAAUGUCUGCCUGAUCAAGAUUCCUCGGUGGCUCGUGGUUCUGACUGAUUGGGCCUUCUCAGUAAGAUCUCCUAUCACAACAGGGAACAUUCAGAAUGGCCUCCGACCAGCACUGCCUGCACUUCCUUUAUUAAACCCCUUUGUUGCAGCUUUAUUAUUUAGCUGUAAAAAUCAGUGUGAGCUAAAGCUCAAGCUACAAGCCGCAGAGAACUUUAAAAAAAAUCAUUUAAACUGCAUUUUCAGGCACUGGAGGAUUUAGAACAUUGGGAACUUAUAAUGACAGAAAAUAAUACCCAGCCCUUGUUUCAAUUUUCUGCUUAACCCUGGUGUCCAGGAAAAAAGUUUCUAUUUUUCUAAAGUAUUGUCACUGGAUUAGUCCAUUUUCACACUGCAAUGAAGAAAUACCCAAGACUGGGUAAUUUAUAAAGAAAAAGAGGAUUAAUAGAUUCACAGUUCAUCAUGAUUUGUCCCAGUGACAUAACGGCAACUGAUUCCACAAGCAACAUAAUUAAAUAGUAAAAAUGUUCGGUAAAGAAUGUAAGUGGUAACUCUUAAGUUUUACCGCUUUCAGCACCUACAAUCCUCCUAAUUAUUGACAUAGGUGUUUAUUAGUCCAUUUUCAUACUGCUAUGAAGAAAUACACAAGACUGGGUAGUUUAUAAAGAAAAGGAGGUUUAAUGGACUUACUGCUUCAGGUGGCUGUGGAGGCCUCACGAUCAUGGGGGAAGGUGAAGGGGAACAAAGGCAUGUCUUACAUGGUGACAGGCAAGAGAGUGUGUGCAGGGGAACUGCCCUUUAUAAAACCAUGAGAUCUCAUGAGACUUAGUCACUAUCACGAGAACAGCAUGAGAAAGCCCACUCCCAUGAUUCAAUUACCUCCCACCGGGUCCCUUCCAUGGCACAUGGGGAUUAUGGGAACUACAGUUCAAGAAGAGAUUUGGGUGGGGACACAGCCAAACCAUAUCUGUCACUCUAUGGAAAAUAUUCUUUUUUUUCUAAAUCUUUGAUUAUCUCUCCAAAUGAUACAUUAGUUAUUUAGAACAUUUAAUAUGUGUAUCUGGAAAUAAAUUAACUUUUUAAUAUGUAUAUCUGGA
rnacentral:lncRNA from 1 species